rnacentral:tRNA from 1 species
ACCUCACUGGCUCAGUCGGUAGAGCAUAUGACUCUUGAUCUUGGGGUUGUGAGUUUGAGUCCCAUGUUGGGUG